UCAUCACCAACCACAACUCAAUACUUCUAGAAGAAAACUGCUUGGAAACUAUAUCUGGUGCCUCCCUAAGAAUCUUACUGUCUGAUAAAUUUCCUCAGAUGUUGGCAUCCUCUCAUAAAUCCGAAAAUACAUGGGAAAUGACAAAAGGUUGGUACACUUUCUCGAUAGUAUACAAACUCUUGUAAAAAUUUGUUAUCAUCCCUUCAAUCUCAUUCGGGUCAGUGACAUAGUUCCCCUCUUCAUCCUUAGUUAUGCCAUACAUGUUCCUCCUCCUUAUAAUUGUGACACCAUGAAUAUACUUGUAUUCUUAUCCCACAUAUAUAGCCAUUUGACUCUUGAUUUCUGAUACCAAUGUAUCUCAUCUUCCACUAGCAUUUGUUCAUACUCCUUCCAACUCUUUUUAUAUUCUAGAUCAAGAU
rnacentral:lncRNA from 1 species